rnacentral:lncRNA from 1 species
CUUGUCAGCAUUAGCCACCCCGAAGUGAGAAGCACAAAAUGGUGUGCUUGGAGAAGCUGCUGACUGUUGAUAGGCAGGUACGACAGAGCUGACACCAUACUUGAGAGGAUUUUGC